UAAGUUCUGGAGCUCGGUUCUGUCCCACUCGGUGGUGACAGAGAUGAUAAAUGGCUCACACUGCUGGCUGAGGACGAAGGACAUGUCCAGCACAACCGUCUCAACAGCAGCAGAAGCCCGGUUCUCCAGGAAGAACCCUUGAGAUGAAGAAGUCAGGUGUCAACUCAUUAACAGGAAGUUCUGACCUCAACAGGAGGAUGAUCUCUCAGGUCUUCAUCCUGUCCUCCAAGGGGGACCAUCUCAUCUACAAGGACUACCGAGGCCAAAGAGGAAACGAUGUGGUCAACAUCUUCUAUGAGAAGGUCACAGCGCUGACUGGAGACCAACCUCUGGUCGUCACGAGCGACAGAGACCUGCACUUUGUACAUGUCAGACAUGAAGGCCUCUACUGGGUCGCCACGACGACAGCCGACUCCUCACCGUUCACCAUCAUUGAGUUCCUCAACAGGCUGAUGGCGCUGGUCAGGGAUUACUGUGGCAGACUCUCUGAGAAGUCCAUCCAGGAGAACUUCGCUUUGAUCUACGAGCUGCUGGAUGAGGUUCUGGACUACGGGUACAUCCAGACCACAUCCUCAGAUGUUCUGAAGAAUUUCAUCCAGACUGAAGCCGUCUCUUCCCGACCUUUCAGUCUGUUUGACCUCAGUAACGUUGGACUGUUUGGAGCAGAAACACAGCAGAGUAAAGUGGCUCCGAGUUCUGCAGCAACCAGACCGAUCCAGUCCAGCAGAGACCAGGGAGGGAGGAGCGAGAUCUUUGUAGAUGUGGUUGAGCGGCUGUCGGUCGUCAUCGGCUCCAACGGGGUUUUGAUGAAGGCCGACGUGGAAGGAGAGGUCAGAGUCAAAUGCUACAUGCCCAGCUGUUCAGAGAUGAGGAUUGGUUUGAAUGAGGAGUUCAGCAUCGGGAAAUCACAGCUUCGAGGUUACGGCGCUGCGGUCCGAGUUGACGAGUGCAGCUUCCAUCAGAUGGUUCAACUGGACGAGUUUGACAGCCACAGAAUUCUCCGGUUCUGCCCGAGUCAAGGAGAGCAAACGGUGAUGCAGUACCAGCUGUGUGAUGACCUCCCCUCGGUGCCGCCGUUCCGUCUCUUCCCGACCGUGGAGAGAGACGCAGCUGGGAGGCUGCUGAUGUACCUGAAGCUCCGCUGUGAUCUACCACCUAAGAGGGCUGCCAUCAAUGUGAUUGCAGUGGUUCCUGUCCCCAAAGGCUGUGUGAGGUCUAGAAGCAGACUCUUGUUCAUCAUUGAUUGUUUGUUUUUGUGGAACCCCCUUCCCCUUCCUUUUGUCUCUUCCUUUCUCUUUCACCUCUGUCUCCGUGUCUGGUCGGAAUUACAAAGCAUUCAAAAAACAAAAACAAUAAAGUUUUAAGUAUAUGAUUAAAAGCAGAAGCUUUGAUGCUCCACCUGAGAGUAAAUCUGUAAGGCUUGUCACCAGCAUUCAGACAUUUUCUGUUUGCUUCACAGCCAGACAGGACACGGUAAAUUACAAAAAAAAAAAAUUUAAAUUAAAAAAAAUUUAAAAAUAUUGUAAAAAAGCAACUUUUGGUUUUUGAUACAUUAAGGUAAAAUAAUACUUGAACUUUAUUUUAGAAGAGCUGCCCUGUGUGAAAGUGCUGACAGGGUUGUGAGUUCAAAUUCCAGUUUAGUCAGUUGUUUUAUUUAUUCCAGGGGUCCUCAACUACAUUUGUUCAAGGUUUUUUUUUCCAGCAGACACCAGUGAAGGUCAGAUGCUCUUCUAAAAUAAAGUUCAAACAUCAUUGUAUCUUAAUUUAUUACAAUUUAAAAUGGCCUUGUUUCCCAUCUGGGCUGUUUUAAUUGUGGCUUUAGUUGUGUGUGGCGAAUGAGGACCGUUGUAGAUGUUUGGGACAUGAAACUGUAGAGGCCCCAGAGGUGUUAGGGUUAAACAGGUUAAGGUUGGACUGACCUGCAGCAGCUCUCAGAUCAGUGUUACAUCACCUGGAACAUCUCUGAAAUGCUGACCAAUAGGUCAAAGCAUAUAACCCUGUUACCUCCUAGGUAGGACGAAACUUUGUAACUAAAUUAAAUAAUCAUAAAAACGGUUGUAUUAUCAAAAAAGACUAACUGAUGCAAAAUCGGAUAGUGCAAGAUUAUGGGGUACAUUGAAUGAAAUGAUGGGUAGGCAUAAUAGGUCAGCUCCAACUUUUUUGGAUGUAGGGAGAACUUAUCUCACUAAACCAACAGAAAUUGCUAAUUAUUUAAACCAGUUUUUAACUAAUAAAAUUAAGUUGUUGCGAGAUUCUAUGGAAAAUAGUCAAACCAAAAAUAUUUCCUACCAACUAAUUAAACAAAAAAUAAUGUUAAAUAAAAACUGCCAAUUUCAAUUUGAUAAAGUGACUGAAGACAAGGUUAAGGAGAUAAUAUUAAAAAGUAAAAAUAAACCAUCUGGCAUAGAUGAUAUUGAUAUUAAAUGGUUAAAGUUAGUAGAUUUUAUUUCAUGUCCUAUUGUUCAUAUAAUGAAUGGAAGUUUUAAACAAGGUAUUUUCCCAUCUCAAUGGAAAACAACAAAAAUAAUACCUUUAAUUAAGAACAAUAGAGAACCACUGUCUGGUCAAAACAGUCGACCAAUAAGUUUGCUACCAGCGUUAAGUAAAAUCAUGGAAAAAAUUGCAUAUGACCAAAUUCAAGAUAAUUUUGAGGUAAAUGAAUUGAACACAAAAUAUCAACAUGCUUACAAAACAAAUCACUCAACCACUACUGCACUUAUUCAAACAACUGAUUAUUGCUUAGAGAAUAUCGAUAAUAAUAAGCUAAUUGGUUCUAUAUUUCUUGAUUUAAUUGCGGCUUUUGAUGUUUUAGAUCAUGAAAUUUUACCACAAAAACUUAAACACUAUGGAUUUCAUACAUCUGCUCUUAACUGGACUAAAAGUUAUCUUACUGACAGAGAAUAUCAAUUUUAUUUCAAUGGCAGUUUUUCUGAAAAGGGUCUGAUGGAAUGUGGUGUUCCACAGGGAAGUUGUUUGGGACCUCUUUUGUUUUCGUUUUUUUUUAUGAUUUUCCGUGGGUGCUGCAACAUGCGACUACAGCAGUAUAUGCAGAUGAUAUUACUGUUUUAGCUUCAGCACAUACGGAGAGUGCACUGAAUGAAAUAUUAAAUAAAGAGUUGAGAACAGUCGAGCAGUGGAUAACUGCUAACAAACUAGUGAUUAUUGCAGGAAAAACUAAAUGCAUGGUAGUUGGCUCCAAACAUACUUUACAGACGAUGCCAAAGUUACAUUUAACUCUGAGUAACAAUGUAAUGGAACAACUAGAAGAAGUAAAAUUACUGGGAGUAAUAGUUGAUUGUAAGUUAUCAUGGACAAGCCAGAUUAAUUAUGUUUUACGCAAAAUGGGGAGAGGUAUGGGCAUAAUUACAUUUUGUUGCAAAUUUAUACCACAAUAUUUACUUAAAUGCCUUGUUCAAUCAUUAGUGCUUUCUUGUGUAGAUCAAGCAUCUAUUAUUUGGUCCAGUACAAGUGAAAAUAAUUUGCAUAAGCUACAAGUAGCACAAAAUAAAGCUGCUCGUAUUGUUUUAGGCUGCCCUUACAGAACGAAUGUGGGAACCAUGCAUGAAAAACUUGCUUGGCUUGAUGUGAAGAGUAGAUUGAAGUACUUCUUGGUAACAACUGUGAGGAAAAUAAUAAUUACAAAAACACCAAAAAUUAUACAUAGCAAAUUAUUGUUUUUUUUUUCAGAUAAUCAUACUUAUAAUACACGACAGAUAAAUGAGAUGAAAGGUGUUUUACCACGCAGUAGAACUAAUCAAAUUCAACGAUCUUUUCACUAUAAAGCUAUGAUUGCAUGGAAUGCAUUACCUAGAAUUUUAAUUUUUGAAAGUAAUAACAUUUCUUUUCAGUAGAAACUGAAAUUUUUUUUGUUUACACACUUAAUUGUACAGUGACUAUGAACUCUGCAACGAAGGAUUGAGAAUCUGGGUUUGAGGUCGAAUACUGGAUAUCGAUGAACUAUGAUACGAAACAAUGGACAUGAUGUCACCAUUCUGUUAUAUUUUAUUUUCAAUCUUUAUUGGUGUGAUUAACUCCUUUCCCGAUAUUAAUUUAUAUAUGUCAUUUUGUUCUAGAUAUGUGAUUUCAUCUUGAGCUACUGGUAUUAUGUGAAUUAGGGAUGUGUGUGUGUGUGUGUGUGUGUGUAUAGGGUAUUAUCUUAUGUAAACAAUUGUAUGAAAAUGUAUGAGACCCCAGGAAGACUAGCAUCUGCACUUAGGCAGAAGCUAAUGAGGAUCUCAAUAAAACGAAACGAAACCUGGGUGUGGGGGUGUCAACUGUAAACCGUGUGUCGUUGGUUCAGUUUGUCUCAGGAGCUCAGUAGUCCAGACCAGAGAGCCGAGCUGAAGCUGCAGAGCAGAGCCGUGGUCUGGGAGGUCCCCCGCUUCCCUGGAGGGACUCAGCUAUCAGCUCUGUUCAAGCUGGAGGUUCCAGGUCUGAGUUCGGCUUCCAUGUUGGAAGUGGGUCCAGUCGGUCUGAGCUUUGAGCUUCCGAAGUUCACCGCCACUGGGCUUCAGAUCCGCUUCCUGCGACUGUCUCCAGUCCAGCCUGGC